rnacentral:rRNA from 1 species
AUGAAGAAUCGAGAGAUUACAUUUACACCGAGAAUAGAGAAAGAAUACUCUGUUUCGAAUGAAUUAAGAGGGCUUCAAUGGGACACUCGCUAUUCCAUACUAAAAGGAAUAUGUGACGGUCUGCAGUAUCUUCAUGUGGAAAAACAUAUUAUUCAUAUGGAUCUGAAGCCAGCAAACAUACUAAUAGAUUAUAAUAUGGUAGCCAAAAUAACUGAUUUUGGCUUAUCAAGAAUGGAGGAAAAUGCACAAACAAAAAGUACAACCCGUUUUUCAUCACCAGGAUACACCGCUCCAGAAUACAUAGACAAAGGCAAAAUGUCAGUCAAGUAUGAUGUGUAUAGCUUGGGAAUCAUAAUAAUCGAACUGGUGACAGGACAAAGGAGUAUUCCCGAUAGUAAUAGUAUAAGCCCCUACUUGGAGGAUGACAUGCUUGUGAUUGAGCCGCUCGAGUUAUGCUUUCCUUUUGAGCUCAACACUCAGAUAUCAUGCUCACUUAAGCUAACCAACGAGACAAAUGAUUUUAUUGCAUUCAACGUUGAAACGACAAGCCCCCUGCCAUACUGUAUACAACCAAAUAAAGGCUUUGUAGCUCCACGAUCGAAGUUUGGUGUCGACAUAACAUUGCAACCACUGGACAAGGCACCACAAGAUAAGUACACGGGUGAUUUCAUUGUGCGGAGCACCAGAGUGAAUGAAAAUCUUGAGGACAUAACUGAAGAUAUAUUCAAAAGACAGGAGGGUAAAUUGGUGGAUGAGGUGAAUCUGACGAUUACAUAUAAGGCCGAGGAACCCGAAGUGGAUGUGCCACUUGGGUCGCCUAUAAUUUCAGACACAAGAAUUUUGCACGGUCCACAUGUAUCCACAGUGCUGUCAACCGAGGUAGAAUCCAAGAUAAGUGCAUCUACCUCAGAUGAGGUGAUCCAGUUUGAUCCCCCCGAGCUCUGCUUUCCCUUAGUGCCAGAUAAAAAGGUGUUAUCCUCAGUUAAAAUAACCAACAUUAGAGAUCUGUAUGUCAGUAUAGCCUGGUCUUCACCAGAAGAAAACUCCGCAAUGUACGCCGUAACCUGUCCCUUAUCGAUCAUGCCACCACGGUCCACACAAUGGCUCACACUAACAAGAGAAGAAAAGGAAGAUGCAGUAAAAGACAUGCAGUUCAAUGACCAAGUCUUUGUGUGGUACACAAUCGUGGCCGAAGAUAUCAAAGUCUCCGACCUUGAUUCGGAGGAUUACAAGGAAUAUAAGAAGUUGUCUGUCGUUCUAACAAAGAUAAACGAUUCUUGUACUACCUCACCAAAUGAGCUGAUCCAGUUUGAUCCACCCGAGCUAAGCUUCCCUUGCCUGAACAAGACGUCACUCUCCUCAGUUAAUAUAAUCAACAUUACAGAUUGCUACAUUGGUUUCAAUUGUUGGAACUUCACGGAGUUUUCUGCGUGCCAUGACAGACAGCCCCGUCAAGGAAUUCUUGCACCGCGGUCCACUCAGAGAAUGGUUGUACAAUGUGUACCCAAGGAAAAUGAACCAGUAGAGGACAUGCAUUGCAAAAAAAGCAUAUUCGUGUGGAACAUGAUUGUGGCUCAAGGUGUCGAAUCCAGCAGCUUGGAGGAUCAAUGCAGUGAUGAAGACAGUAAGGAGCUGCCCUUCAUUUUUAACAAUAAUAUAAGCAGCCCAUGUACCUCAACCUCAACCUCAGGAGACGAGCUGCUGAUCCGGUUGGACCAUCCUGCAGGGCUUGUCUUUCCGCGAAACAAGACAGGCUUGUUCUCAAUUAACAUUGUCAACGUUACCGAUUACUAUGUUGGUUUUCGUCUAUUUAAGCCCAGAGAAGAUGCGGCCGUGACCCACCGUACACAUACUGAAGUAGGAAUUUUGGCACCACGGUCUGAUCAAAGACUCGUCGUAGCAAGGCUAAUAAAUGAAAAGGAACCACAAGACACAACAUACAACGACGACAAGCAGCUCUUAAUAUGGAAUGCCAUUGUCAGUGAAGGCGUCAAAGUCAGCGACCUUGAUUGUUCCAUAUGUCUCCAGAUAGAGAAGAGUAUCGAGUUGCCCUUGAUUUUUGAUAAGAUAACUUCAUCUACAUCAGUUGAGCUGAUCAAGUUUGAACCCCCCCAAGUCUGUUUCCCCUUCCUGCCGAGCAAACGUCUGUUAUCUCCAUUUAAGAUAGUCAACGUUACAGAUUAUCACAUUGGUUUCGGUACACGAGUUGAGGAAACAAAUGUGGCGUUGUACAUCACGGUGCCACCAUAUGGAAUCCUGCCACCACGGUCGACACAAGAACUGGUGGUAACAAGGGUCGCCAAGAAAGAGGCACCGGAACUGGAAGACAUGCAGUGCAAAGAUAAAUACUUUGUGUGGAGCUGCUUUGUGACUCAAGAUGUCAACGCCAGCGAACUCACAAGAUAUAUGCCCCAAAGUGAGAGAAGGGAGCUGCCCAUAAUUUUUACGGAGACAAGCUCAAACGAGUUGGUUCAGUUUGAUCCUCCCGAGCUCAGCUUUCCUCUGUUGCCAAACCAGAGAGUCUUGUCGUCAACUAAGAUAGUCAAUAUUGCAGAUCAGUACAUCGGUUUCAGAGUAUGCACCAAGAAAAGCAAUUCAGCAAGGUACAACACAAAUCCGGCAGAAGGAAUUUUGCCACCGCUGUCCACGCAAGUAAUCCUGGUAACAAGGAUAGCAGGGGAAAAUGAACUAGAAGAGACACAGUGCAACGGCAAGUUUUUGGUGUGGAGCGGCAUUGUGACUGAAGAUACGAAAGCCAGCGAUGUUAUUGACAACAUGUCCGAGACAAAGUGUACCGGUUUGCCCAUUGUUCUUACACAGACAAGUUCAUCUAUCUCAGAGGAGUUGAUCCAAUUUGAUCCACCAGAACUUCACUUUCCCAUUUUGCCAAACAAGAAGGUGUUGUCCUCAAUUGAGGUAGUGAACCUUACAGAUUACAAUGUUGGUUUCAAUACAUAUAGCAGGCCAACAAAUGUGGCAUGGUACCACACAGAGCCACCGAGAGGAAUCCUGCCGCCACGAUCCACUCAAAAACUUACGGUAACAAGAGAAGAAAAGGAAGAUGCAUUGAAAUAUAAGCAGCUCAAUGAAAAGUACUUUGUGUGGACAGGCAUUGUAUCUGAAUGUGUCAAAGACAACGAGCUUAGUGAUUGCAUGGCUGAACAAGAGAGCAAAGAGUUGCCCAUUGUUCUUGACAAGAUAAGCUCAUUAACCUCAGAUGAGCUGAUCCAGUUGGAUCCCGCCGAGCUCUGCAUGCCCCACUUGCCAAACAAGGAAAUGAAGUUCAUAGUAAAUGUAGUCAACACUACAGAUUUCUAUGUUGCUUUCAAUGUAUAUUUCAUCCGCAGGAAUGCAGCACAGGACAAGAGACCUGCAUCGGUAGGUACAGGAUCGAAUGUAAUCCUGCAACCACGAUCCACCAAUAGACAAAUACUACAUUGGAUAAUUGAUGAGACGGAGGAGCCCGUAGAAGAUUACUUUGUGUGGAGCCGUGUUGUGACUGAAGGUGUGGAAAGCAGAGACAUCAUUCGUUACAUGGUUGAGGAAGAGAGUAAGAAACUGCCCUUUGUUGUUAAUAAGGCAAGCCCGGCAUGUACCUCAAACGAGCUGAUCCAGUUUGAGCCGCCUGAGCUCAGCCUCCCCUUGAUGAUGAUGCCAAACAAGCCCUUGGCGUUUUCAGUUAAUAUACUCAACAGUACAGACUACUAUGUUGGUUUUGGUGGAUAUAACCUGAAAACAAAUGUGGCCUGCUACUCCAUAAAACCUGCGGGUGGAGUUAUGCCGCCACGGUCCACUCAAAGACUGGUUGUAAAAAGGGUACCAAAGAAAAAGGAGGAGCUGCUUAGUGAGUGCCAAGAUGAUAAGUUCCUCGUAUGGAGCUGCUUAGUGAGUGAAGGUGCCAAAGCCAGCGACCUCAAUGGUUGUGCUAAAUACACAGUGGGUAGGGAGUUGCCAAUUGUUUGUACUAACAAGACAAGCAACUUAUGCACCUCAGACGAGUUGAUCCAGUUUGAUCCUCCACAGCUCCCGUUCACCUUCCUUCCCAACAUGAGGGUGUCCAUGUUGCGCUUGCUUAAAAUAGUCAAUGUUACAGAUCACAUCGUCGGUUUCAGUACAUGGUCUCAUGAAGCCAAUUCUGCGUCAUACACAAUGGAACCGCGUGCAGGGAUCCUGCCACCACAGUCCACACAAGCAAUCAAGGUAAGAAGGACCCCAAAGAAAAAUGAAACGGAAGAUAUCCAGUGCAAAGACAAGAUUUUUGUGUGGAAUGGAAUUUUGACUGAAGGUGUCCAAGUUAGGGAUGUCUGUACAUACUGGAAGAACGAAGAUAAAGAGUUGCCCAUUGUUCUAACAAAGGUACAGAAAGAUACAACUAUUACGGUAAUUGACACAACUAAUAACUAUGGGCUUUCUAUAUAUGUUGACAGCCUGGAGAAAGCAGUUCAAGGUAGGAUCGGCAGCAUGGUCGAAUCUCUUGGACGUAAAGCUGGCUUGACAAGCGUGAUCCAAUCGAUGUAG